CUCAAUGAAACUAAAUAGCCGCAAUAUUUUGUGCUAAGGUAGCAUAAUCAUUUGUCUUUUAAUUAAAGACUAGAACGAAAGAUUCAAUAUUUUUAUUUCUUUCUAAUAUAUAAUUAUUUAAUUUAUUUUAAAUAUUAAAAAAUAUUUAUUCUUAAAGAAGACGAUAAGACCCUAUUGAACUUAACUAAAGUUAAACUGGGGUAGUUAAUUAAAUAUAAUUUUAAUUUAAAUUUCAAAAACAACCUAAUACAAUUAAAAAUAUCAAGUUACCAUAGGGAUAACAGCGUAAUAAUUUUCCUAAGUUCUUAUUAAAAAAAUUGUUUGCGACCUCGAUGUUGAAUUAAUAAUCUAUUAAAUGCAAUAACUUAAUAAGAAAGUCUGUUCGACUU
rnacentral:rRNA from 1 species